UAUGAGUAAGACAUGAUUAUCAACAGCUGCAAAAGUACACUCAACUUUGUGAUAUUUUUGUGCAUAAACUGAGGGAAUGCAAUAUAGCGACAACAAACAUCUGCAAGAAGAACACAUGGGGAUAUUUCAAGCAUAAAAUAACUGACGCGACAUCGAUAAUUUAGAAAAAUAUUGAACAUUGGUAUCGGCACAACUCACAGAUUAUCGAAGUGAUGAAAUUAAGAAACGUCGUUAUCUACGUUUUACAAUUGUUCACAAGUUAUACGAAACGUUUGAGCAGAGCGGUCAAAGUGAUAGGAUUUUCAGAGGAACGUAAUAAGAAGAAAAAAGUCGUUUAUUUUUUUCCUUAAUUUUCCUUAAUUUC